UUUUUUGCCAACCUCACAAAAAGGUGCCAAUUUUUGGCCAGUCUUGAUAUUGUCAAAAUUUGGGUAGCAAACUAACAGUACCCAUUCAUUGGGUGCAUAAUAGUAUUUGUCACAGCAUGCCCAAGCCAGAAGCACGUCUUGUCCUGCACAAAUACCAUAACCACAUGAAAUCCCUUGGUAAACUUGAGACAUGGAUCAAAUAUCAUACGAUGAUGCAUCAUACAACACGAGAAGCCAUUUGGACAGGCUGAAAAACAGAAACUACCCUACAGUAUAGCAGCACUAAGUUUUUCCUCCAUGAUACUAUACACUUUAAUCAAAAGCCCUGGAAUCCUCUGUAGACUGAGUCCUAUCCAUCAGUCUAACCUAGAUACUUCACAUAACCUACCUAACAGAACAAUUCAAUAGAUGCCAGCUCCCAGCCUUUUAGCCAGCAAAUAUAUUCUUAAAAGUUGGAAAUCCAUAAAGCCUCAAUGUGUGGACAGGUAAUCAUUUUCACUCAAGGAAAAAGUUAUGCCAAUAACUUUUUAAAAGAUUAAGUCAAAACGAGAUUUCACUAUCGUGCCAGAUCUAGUUGUAGUGCUGCCCCUAUAAAUACCCUCCCCUCGAUGUAUACCAGAAGCACACCCAUAGCUGAAUAGCUGAGAGAGAUGAGAAAUCGGAGUGAAGAGUUCGCUGCCGCAAGAGCCAUGCAGAAAGAGGCAGAGAGUGGAAUGCAGCCAAGGAUGACUUGCCGACAGCACACAACAAGGUGGUAGUAAUCUUGCCGGCAAGUCCGUCCUUGGCUACACCUUGCUCUCUACCUCUGCUGUGUGGCUUUUGCAUGGCCUGGAGAAACUUGAAUGUGCCUGGUGUCUUUCUUCUUCCAUAGAGGUAAAACUACUUGCCUCACAGAACUAUCAACUGUCAGUUUUUUUUGGUGGGGGAAGAGGGGGGAGGGGGGUUAUGGGGGCGCGAAACCCACCUGAACAUUUUCAAUUUAGCCAGGAGAGAUAGCAGUGACCAUUUUUUGCAGAGUCACAGAGGAGAGAUUCAAAGAGAAGCACUACGAGCUGAUCUCAGCCAAAUUUAGAAGUCCUAGUCCAAAACACCUGCCAUCAUAACAGCGACGUGGAGAAACUCUGGAUCCAUGCCAAAAUUGACUUACACAUAGAGCAGGAGCAUCACCAGCACCACAGGAGAACAUAGGCGGCAAUUUUCCAGGCAACGGUGACGGGUGCCAGGUGCUCGCUGAGAAUGACUUUGGCGCUCAGCUGCUACUGUCAGACUUGAAACAAAUUUAUGCAUGUGUUCAAGGAAUAUCGCUAAACUAUAAACUCCAUGUGGUGCCAGUAAAAAUGAACUGAAUGCUGUUGACUUGCAAUAUGUAUACAGACUCGUCAAGUAUUUUCAGCAUUGAUCAUCGCCAGUUUAGAAAGAUAAAAUAAACAGCGAACCUUUUGAAUCAGAAAGUACGUAAAUAAGCUAAAGUAUGCCAGCAGCAGCUCCACUCCAGCAUGAUCAGUUAGAUAGUACGUAGAUAGAUAUUUCUGCGGGUACCUUGGUGAUUGCAGAUCUGUCAGAGAUUAUAUGCACAGUUAAAAAAUCUGAUUGCAGCUAAAAUGGGAGUGCAUAUCAUCUGGAUACAGGCACGAUAUCACAAAACUAUCCAUCCCUGAGAGCACACAUAUAAAUACAUAAUAUUAGAUGAGAAUAAAUUGGCCUUCGUUAACGAAGCCAGAGAAUACAUCCCGCUUAAUUAAUCAAAAAAUAAAACAGAUGAGAAUGAAACUAUAAACCACAUAGUAUGAAAGAGCUUGAUUGUUAAUACUCGAAAGAACAUGUAUGUUUUUACUUUUUUUUCAUCUAUGAAGAACUUAUAUAGCAUUAUCAGUUGAAAAACUUAUUUUGGAAAAAAAACAUUCUAAACAAGGUGUGAUAUGAUUUGUCAACUCGUAGUAUACACAGGAUAUCAGUGUAAGAUCUCAGAGUCUGUCCAAGAAGAAUGAUGUAUAAGCAAGUUUCAUGUAUAUUUAAUAAAUAAAUGGACGAUGAAAAAUAAUCACAUUCCAUCAUUUUACCACAGGAAAAUAAAGACAUUUCACACAUUGUCAGUAACUACUACUCCCUCCGUUCCAAAAUAAGUGUCAUGGUUUUAGUUCUUAUUUUGGAACAGAGGGAGUACAUAACAAAUAUAAAAGUUCAGCUCAAUUUAUAGUGCUUUUUGGUUAAUAUGAUAUACUCCCUCCGUCCCAUAAUAUAAGAGCCCCAUAAUAUAAGAGCGCUAGUGUCAAAAACACUCUUAUAUUAUAGGACGGAGAGAGUAAUAGAUAAUACUUGACCAAAUGCACAUGUAUCUCUUUUUCACAGAAUCAGAAAAGGACGGCUCAGGAGACACAGUUCUUUUAUUGAUGCUCAUUCAUAAAAUAAAUGGUACAGCUAUAAAGGAGAAUCAAGUGAUUUUUUGGUGGUCAUAUCUAGGGCAGAUCACCAGUACCUCUUUGCAUUCCCUGUAUAAUGUGUGCUCAGAUAAUACUUCCAUUUUUCAGCCCAUGACAUGGAAUUGCGGACCAAUGACAUGAAUCUGUAUAAUAACAUAAACUGGAUUUUUCGUUCCUCUCACAAAUGUAUACCUAUAUUUACUCUGAUACAGUGCCCAUAUGAAAUGUUUACUAACAUCAAAUACUGGGGACAUGUAGCCAUUGAUAUAUUAAAUGAUCAUGUGGAAGCACUCAUUCAAAGUGUAUAUAUAAUAAAAUAUAAAACAAUGUAUCAUAAUUGGCACCUCAGAAUAUUAUGGAAAAUUGCAACAUACUGUAAUAAAACCUGCAAAGAAGUCCACUUCAUUGGGACACUUCCAUAGAAGCCGAGACAGCAAGGCAGUACUAUUCCGAAUUACAUCUGAUGAUGUCUGAUGUAAUGUAGGAUGAAAACCAAUGCUUGUAAUGUU
rnacentral:lncRNA from 1 species